rnacentral:lncRNA from 1 species
UUUCACAAGGUGGAAGAGAUAUGUAAAUAGCUGUCGCUGGUGAUGUGUGCAUAAUUGAAAGGCAUAAAAUUAUUUUAAAAAGUUAACAGUGAUUAAGUUCUUAGAAAACACUGCAGAGGGAGAAAUAGUUGCAAAUGGCAGCUCCAAGUAUCUCAAAUUUUAACAUGCAAAUAGAACUCCAGGGGAUCUUAUGGAAGUAGACUCUGAUUUAGUAGAUUUGGAAUAGGACCUGAAUAAUUGCGUUUUUUUUUUUUUUUUUUGGUCUUUUUAGGGCCACUCCUAGCCUGGGAACCUCCAUAUGCUGUGGGUGUGGCCCCAGAAAAGACAAAAAGAAAACAAACAAACAAACAAACAAACCCUGCCUCCAAGAAAACCUCCCGAAAGGAAUGUGGACAUUAUGCUUUAAUGUUUGAAAGACAGAUCUGGAGACUACCCUUAGCGGGUUCCUCCUCCCUCCUCUGAACUUUUCGAUGUUGCUUUUUGCCAUGGCAACAGUAGACUUUUGCCUUUUCCAAUGGAAAAAGCUAGAAGCAGUCCAAAUAAACAAAUACCAGCACCACAAGGAAACAAACCACACCAACCCCAAAUCUCACACUUAAUCACUCAGAAAAUAUCCUUCAUUAAGUUGACAAUGUUCAUGGAGCAUGGAAGUCGCACCCACAGUCUUCUUGCCUUGGUUUGGCUGUCGGACACUAUGAGCGUGGCUUGUUCCUUCUCCUUUUUGUCACCCAUGGCUUUGUAUCCCAGGGUAGAAGGUCAGAAAGAGGCUCAAGGGAAGGUUCUCCUUUGUCCUUCUGAGCCUGAGGGCCCGGUGAGCUUUUCAGAGUGGCGAGAAGGGCCUGGAAGACUACCUCACUGAGGGAUGUUUCCAUGCCUCCCACAAGUUCUUCUUCCUGUGAGUCCAUUUUCAGGAAAGGGCCUGCACAGAAUGUCUGUGUCUGAAGAGAGUUUGUCUAGGAGUCUUGAUGAGGCUUGGAGGGCUGAUGCUGGUGCUGCAGGUCCAGGAGAGGGCAUGUCUCUUAAUUUGCAUGUGCAGGCUGCAGAAUCACCCCUUGCCUGGGCUGUCCCCUGGCAAGGACAGCUUGGGCCCCUGGCCCCACCACUGUGGGGCCUGGGAGGUGCAUGGCUGAGCCAGAUGCUGCAGAGAGUUGUCAAGGCCAGGCUGAAGGGCAUCCUGGAGACUAUGUGCUGCCAUGGUAGUGUGCAGGUUGUUCUGGCAUGCUCCUCCCUGUGAUGGGGGCCAGAGAGCUGUGUGAAUAGGGUAGAGACCACCUCUGGGAAUGGGUCCCAUGGAAGAGUGACUCAGGACAGUUCCCAGAGGUAGGGUUUUCUCUUCCCUGCAGAGCCAGCCUGGGCUGGACCAGCAUAAACAUCAAUGGCUGGCCCCACAGCCCCCAGAGGGAACCCAGGCACAAAGAAGGCAAGGGAUAAAGGAGGAGCACCUUUGGCAAAGAAUGCAUGCCCUCAGGUGGAUCCGAGGGAGGAAAAGGAUGAGAGCCUUGUGGGGAGUGGAAGGAGGCUUUGGUUCAAGGGAGCCGUCAGGGCUGGUCUGGUAUCAGGGUCUCCUGUCAGGACAUCCACAAGCCUACCUGUGCUCUGCUCUGGGUGCCAAGCUCUUUGGUUCUGAAACCAUAUAUAGGAGGAGUUCUUAUUGUGGUGCAGUGGGAAUGAAUCUGACUAGCAUCCAUGAGGACACAGGUUAGAUCCCUGGCCUUACUCAGUGGGUCGGGGAUCCAGCAUUGCCGUGAGCUGUGG